ACACAUGCAAGUCGAGCGAUCUCUUCGGAGAGAGCGGCGGACGGGUGAGUAACGCGUGGGUAACCUGCCCUGUACACACGGAUAACAUACCGAAAGGUAUACUAAUACGGGAUAACAUACGAAAGUCGCAUGGCUUUUGUAUCAAAGCUCCGGCGGUACAGGAUGGACCCGCGUCUGAUUAGCUAGUUGGUAAGGUAAUGGCUUACCAAGGCAACGAUCAGUAGCCGACCUGAGAGGGUGAUCGGCCACACUGGAACUGAGACACGGUCCAGACUCCUACGGGAGGCAGCAGUGGGGAAUAUUGCACAAUGGGCGAAAGCCUGAUGCAGCAACGCCGCGUGAGCGAUGAAGGCCUUCGGGUCGUAAAGCUCUGUCCUCAAGGAAGAUAAUGACGGUACUUGAGGAGGAAGCCCCGGCUAACUACGUGCCAGCAGCCGCGGUAAUACGUAGGGGGCUAGCGUUAUCCGGAAUUACUGGGCGUAAAGGGUGCGUAGGUGGUUUUUUAAGUCAGAAGUGAAAGGCUACGGCUCAACCGUAGUAAGCUUUUGAAACUAGAGAACUUGAGUGCAGGAGAGGAGAGUAGAAUCCUAGUGUAGCGGUGAAAUGCGUAGAUAUUAGGAGGAAUACCAGUAGCGAAGGCGGCUCUCUGGACUGUAACUGACACUGAGGCACGAAAGCGUGGGGAGCAAACAGGAUUAGAUACCCUGGUAGUCCACGCCGUAAACGAUGAGUACUAGGUGUCGGGGGUUACCCCCCUCGGUGCCGCAGCUAACGCAUUAAGUACUCCGCCUGGGAAGUACGCUCGCAAGAGUAAACUCAAAGGAAUUGACGGGGACCCGCACAAGUAGCGGAGCAUGUGGUUUAAUUCGAAGCAACGCGAAGAACCUUACCUAAGCUUGACAUCCCACUGACCUCUCCCUAAUCGGAGAUUUCCCUUCGGGGACAGUGGUGACAGGUGGUGCAUGGUUGUCGUCAGCUCGUGUCGUUAGAUGUUGGGUUAC
rnacentral:rRNA from 1 species